rnacentral:RNase_P_RNA from 1 species
GGAGUGGCUCGGGUGAUGCGCGGGGCGGACAAGCAAGCUUGCUUCGGCAAGCAGUUGCUCGCUCUGAGGAAAGUCCGAGCUCCACAGGGCAGGAUGCUGGGUAACGCCCAGGGGGGGUGACCCCACAGCCAGUGCCACAGAAAACAAACCGCCCGUCACAGGGGCAACCGUGAGGCGGGUAAGGGUGAAAUGGUGAGGUAAGAGCUCACCGCGUCUUCGGUGACGGAGACGGCACGGUAAACCUCAUCCGGAGCAAGGCCAAAUAGGGGAGGAGAGGUGGCCCGCCUCGUUACGACUCCCGGGUAGGCCGCACCGAGGCGACGGGUAACCGUCGCCCCAGAUGAAUGCUCACCGGGCGACCGCCGGCUUUGGUCUGCAGUCGCUCACAGAACUCGGCUUACAGAGCCACUCCGGUC